GGGACUGGUCUCAAAGAACCAAUUCUGUGAUGGUUUUGUCCAUUUAGACGGAAACAAUAAGGCCCACCUCCAUUAUUAUUCCAGAGAAAGGUGGGAGGAUGCGUGAGGAGAGGAAAUUUGACAGAGCCUUUUCGACAGCAUAAUGAGAAAGCUGGAUUUUCAGACCUAGAAGUACACAACAAAUAGCAAUGUUAUACAACAAAUGACAAUAUCAAUGUCAACA